UUUAGAUCCUGGCUCAGGACGAACGCUGGCGGCGUGCCUAAUACAUGCAAGUCGAGCGGAGUUUAUCGGGAGCUUGCUCCUGAUAAACUUAGCGGCGGACGGGUGAGUAACACGUAGGCGACCUGCCCGUAAGACUGGGAUAACUACCGGAAACGGUAGCUAAUACCGGAUACGCAAGUCUCUCGCAUGAGGGACUUGGGAAAGGCGGAGCAAUCUGUCACUUACGGAUGGGCCUGCGGCGCAUUAGCUAGUUGGUGGGGUAACGGCUCACCAAGGCGACGAUGCGUAGCCGACCUGAGAGGGUGAACGGCCACACUGGGACUGAGACACGGCCCAGACUCCUACGGGAGGCAGCAGUAGGGAAUCUUCCGCAAUGGACGAAAGUCUGACGGAGCAACGCCGCGUGAGUGAUGAAGGUUUUCGGAUCGUAAAGCUCUGUUGCCAGGGAAGAACGUCCGUUAGAGUAACUGCUAACGGAGUGACGGUACCUGAGAAGAAAGCCCCGGCUAACUACGUG
rnacentral:rRNA from 1 species